rnacentral:rRNA from 1 species
AGAGUUUGAUCCUGGCUCAGGACGAACUUUGGCGGCGUGCCUAAUACAUGCAAGUCGAGCGAGCUUGCCUAGAUGAUUUUAGUGCUUGCACUAAAUGAAACUAGAUACAAGCGAGCGGCGGACGGGUGAGUAACACGUGGGUAACCUGCCCAAGAGACUGGGAUAACACCUGGAAACAGAUGCUAAUACCGGAUAACAACACUAGACGCAUGUCUAGAGUUUGAAAGAUGGUUCUGCUAUCACUCUUGGAUGGACCUGCGGUGCAUUAGCUAGUUGGUAAGGUAACGGCUUACCAAGGCAAUGAUGCAUAGCCGAGUUGAGAGACUGAUCGGCCACAUUGGGACUGAGACACGGCCCAAACUCCUACGGGAGGCAGCAGUAGGGAAUCUUCCACAAUGGACGAAAGUCUGAUGGAGCAACGCCGCGUGAGUGAAGAAGGGUUUCGGCUCGUAAAGCUCUGUUGGUAGUGAAGAAAGAUAGAGGUAGUAACUGGCCUUUAUUUGACGGUAAUUACUUAGAAAGUCACGGCUAACUACGUGCCAGCAGCCGCGGUAAUACGUAGGUGGCAAGCGUUGUCCGGAUUUAUUGGGCGUAAAGCGAGUGCAGGCGGUUCAAUAAGUCUGAUGUGAAAGCCUUCGGCUCAACCGGAGAAUUGCAUCAGAAACUGUUGAACUUGAGUGCAGAAGAGGAGAGUGGAACUCCAUGUGUAGCGGUGGAAUGCGUAGAUAUAUGGAAGAACACCAGUGGCGAAGGCGGCUCUCUGGUCUGCAACUGACGCUGAGGCUCGAAAGCAUGGGUAGGGAACUGGAUUAGAUACCCUGGUAGUCCAUGCCGUAAACGAUGAGUGGCUAAGUGUAGGGAAGGUUUCCGCCUCUCAAUUGCUGCAGCUAAACGCAUUAAGCAAUCCGCCUGGGGGGGUACGACCGCAAGGGUUGAAACUCAAAGGAAUUGAACGGGGGGCCCCGCACAAGCGGUGGAGCAUGUUGGUUUAAUUCGAAGCAACGCGAAAGAACCUUACCAGGUCUUGACAUCCAGUGCAAGCCUAAGAGAUUAGGUGUUCCCUUCGGGGACGCUGAGACAGGUAGUGCAUGGCUGUCGUCAGCUCGUGUCGUGAGAUGUUGGGUUAAGUCCCGCAACGAGCGCAACCCUUGUCAUUAGUUGCCAUCAUUAAGUUGGGCACUCUAAUGAGACUGCCGGUGACAAACCGGAGGAAGGUGGGGAUGACGUCAAGUCAUCAUGCCCCUUAUGACCUGGGCUACACACGUGCUACAAUGGACGGUACAACGAGAAGCGAACCUGCGAAGGCAAGCGGAUCUCUUAAAGCCGUUCUCAGUUCGGACUGUAGGCUGCAACUCGCCUACACGAAGCUGGAAUCGCUAGUAAUCGCGGAUCAGCACGCCGCGGUGAAUACGUUCCCGGGCCUUGUACUCACCGCCCGUCA